GUGAGCUCUGAGCUGCCUGCCACCUGAGGAGAAACUGGAGCUCCAGGGAGAAGCUGCUGGAUACAGAUAAGACAAGAACUCAGGAUUGGCUGAGCCAUAGGUUAGAAGGAGCUUGGAUCCCCAAAUCACUGCAUGGAGGAAAUCCAGUGGCCAACCAGGAACAUCCAUCAAAAAUAAACUUUCUGCUGACUCUUACAACUUGAGAAAGACUUUCUAAUAAUCUUCCUUUGUAUUCUGGAUCUGCUUCACUUCUCCUGUGAAGAUGUUUUGGAGUCAGGCUUUACUAAAACUGUGGCUCACUAAAGGAGAGAGCUAUCCUACCAGGAGCUAAGAAGUGGGACUGGGCUUAUACUACACAGAAAAGAUUAGUGAGGUGCGAGGUGGGGUUGUGAUGAAAAAAACCAUAGAAAGACACCAAAGCCCACUCAGGUGGAUAUCAGAGGGACUGGAGACCAUACAUAGCAGAAUGUACUGAGGUUGAAGAGAAAGAAUGGACAAGUCAACUGGGAAGAAUGCAGAACAUAGCGAGAAAUAAAAGCAUCCAGUGGAAGUUGAUGCUUUGUGAAAGCCCUUUUCCUUACUUCUCCAUUUGUAAUCCAUGCACACCCUGCCCUCCAUUCCAGUCUGCAAAGGGAUGUCCAAAAGAGAAUGCAAAUUUUUGACGCUCCUCCUGUUUAGAAAUAGGGUCUAAGUACCCUCCCUUUGAGGCUAGACAGGCUGACUCAUCUAAGACUCCUUCAACCAAGAGAAUGCAAUGGAAAUGUUAGUGUUCAACUUCCAAGGCUAGAUCACAAAUGCCAUAAAGUUUCUGCCUUGUUCUCUUGGGAGGCUCAUUCUAUUACCUGGGGAAAGCCAUCUGUUACCUAAGAAGUCUGACUGCAUGAGACUUUCAUGCUGGUGAGGCCAUGUGCAGGUGUUUCAGUCAACAGCCCCCACUGUGCACCCAGAUGGCUGUUGGCUUCAACCAUCAGCCAUGUGCAUGCACCAUCUUGGAUGUCCAGCCCGAUUGAGCCUUACAGUGACUGCAGCCCCAAGUGGCAUCUAAAUGUUACCUCAUGAGAGAUCCCAAGCAAGAACUUUCUAGGUGAACCUUUCCCAAAUUUCUGAUCCACAAAAUUG
rnacentral:lncRNA from 1 species